UAAGGAGAAUGUUCAUAAAAGGGUGUUGAAUUCCCUCUUUUAUCAGAGUUGACAGAGGCCACUUGUGUGGCCUGUACUAAGUGUGGCCAAUAAAUCUGACAAGGAGCAGAACAGCCCAGAGAUUCCACAGUCAAGACAAGGAGGGAAUAAGACAUUCCAUUACCCAAAGAAGUGAGUGGAAGGCAACCUCUGUGCCUCAAUUACUUUGCAAAAACAAGUCUGUGAAGAACUUUCUGGGACUUAGGAAAAGACUGACUUCCCGAGGCAGAAACAAGAAGAAAAGCUUCUACAGAGAAAUAGUGAGGUGCUUGAACACUGAAAAAUGUGUUGAAUUUGGAAAAUGGAGUCAAGGAAAAGGAAUAGACCCAGGAUGAAUCGUGGAGGAAAAAGAUAUGAAACAGAGGUCUGUGAAUUUUGCCUUUUAGUUGGAGAGGAGAAAAUGUCCUCCAGAUGGCUGGCUGAAGGACAGGGAGAAUCUCAGAAGCCAGAAAGUGCAUCUUGCUACACUAUGUUCCUUUGUUUUGCCACGUUCAACCACAGUGCAUUAUUUCAUCUAUUUCAUCCCCAAAUCAUACAAGGCAAAGGCCACCUCAUCACACAGAGCACUGAGGGUGUGUGUCUUCUUGAACUUAUGAAAUUAUGGAAUUCCACUGCAACCCAAAGGCAGAGGCAGUCUCUGCAUGAGGGUGGGGUAACUGCUCAUGAGUCUCAGGGGAACUGGGAAUCCUGAAGGCAGCCAACCUUCUCAGCCCUGCCCAACUUCCACCCAAUAGGAAGGAGUCCUCCUUGACUCUGGUAGGAUGUCCCCACACUCCACAGUGCUGAGGAAACCCACACUCUUCCCUUGACCAUGGUGACAACCUCAGGUGGGCUAUCUUUUCAGAUCUGCAUGUUUCACCUCUCCAGUCUGUCAGUUUCCCAGGGGCACCACCAGUAUCUGGCAGGUCUCUGAAUUCCAACAGUCCCUGACAUUGUAUCUGUUAUAAACACUGUAUUUACUGAUCCAUUGCAAAUUUGAUAAACCUGUCUGAAAGACAAUUCUUUAAAUUUUUUUAAAGUUUGUUCUUUUUAGAUAUACAUGACAGGAGAGUGUACUUUGACAUAUUAUACAUACAUGGAGUAUUAUAAUUAGGAUCUCGUUCUUGUGGUUGUACGUAAUGGAAUUUCAUUGAUGGUGUAUAACAUCAAUGAAAUUAUAAACAUAGGAAAGUUAUGAAAUUCAAUUCUUACAUGUACCUCUAAUGGUAAGAGAAACAGUUUUUUUUUUUUUAGAACUGUUUUUCAAAAUUUUACUUCUGAUACAGAUCAAUUUCUACCCAUACAUAUAAUUAGGAAUGUAUAAAGGAUAUAUAGACAGAAGUUUUACUCUAUGUCUAUCAGAAAAAUAUGACACCAGAUCCUUCACCUUUCCAGUUAAAAUGUGUAGUGUCUUAAGGAAAUACAGACCCCACAAGGAACUGGCCCCCAUGGCUUAUUUACCCACAUUUCUAGAACCUUUCCAUUCUUCUCCCCUUAGCUUAUUUAUUUUUACUAGUUACACCUCCAGGUAGGCAGUACUAUUAAAAAAUGUGCAUGGUCAUUAUCCUCAUUAAUUAAUGUCCGCCAACGAUGCAGGCUAAUCUGUACUGCAGCGUUUGCUCAAAAUGAUAAAAUACCUCACAGAAGGGAAAGAGAAAUGCCAUUGUCCCAGGGAUAUUCUUUUUAAAUAAAAAAUGGAAUAAAUAUAAACCUCAGAGUCAAGUGGAAUAAAAAAUGACAAUAUCCUAAAAAUAAAUGAAAACAAAAAUAGACUCUUUUCCCCCAAAUCCUGUGGUUUCUACUCCAUGCCUGCAGGAUGUUUUCUGUCCACUUACAAAUCCCUCUCUAGAGCCCCAGUCACCCUCUCUGAGAAGUGAGAGUUAUGUUCCUGUUUGAGAAGUGGACUCCAUGGCACCUGUCAAGGAAUCCAGGUGAACUCCAAAGGCAGUUGUAUACUCGGGCACAGACAGUUUGUUGGAAAGUGGGGAAGAGAACAGUGGGUUUUGGAUGGAGCUGAGGAAGCUACAUAGCAGAGACAGAGAGGAGAAGGGGGUUUCUCUAGAGUAAUUCUGCCCAAAUCUAGGGCAGCCAAGAAUGUUCUUGAGAGCAGAAGAGGGGACACGUACAGGGUGCUCCCAGGUUGUCCUUGGCAGUAAUUGAUAGGAGAGGUACAUCUAUUCUCAAUGGGGGCACACAGGCAAGGACUAGAAUAAGGCCCUGACCAGGCCAAAUUUAAGAGCUGAUAGGAAAGAUUUGUACACAUGGAGAAAAGGGACAACAGUAAGGAAUGACACCCUAAAAGGGAACAGAUUCGUAAAGUGUAAGUAACCUGAUGAGCCAUGGUUCACCAGACACAGGCUGCAGGCCCUACAAGAAAUCUUCCGGGCAAUGGCUCACCUUGAAAAUGAAACUAGUCAGAAGUAAGCAAAAUUGAUACAGAAAACUGUUAAGUCUGCUAUUUCUUAUUUCUGUUGAGAGAAACAGACGGUAUUCAGUGUGCCAGACCCUUACUAUGCACUAUCUCAUACUAAUCACAAAGGAAUCCUGAAAACUAGGUAAAUAGCUCUAUUUCACUGUUGGAAAAAAAACCGUGGCACAAGGUUACAUGAAGACGACAGGGCAGACCUCGGGCUUGCCAGGCGGGGCUUCUUCACCAAAGCCCAGUGCUUCUGAUAUUCAACACUAUUUACACACAAAAUUAUUCUUAAAGG